GUCGGGGGGAAGAUGAGAUCGGUGCUGGAGGCAACUUUGGGGUUAAACCAUUCGAGAAUGGUUUAACCCAUUGAGGUAAGAGUUCGCCCAGGGACCUCCUGACACCAUAAAACCUUAAUUUAGAUGAAGUUGUUAUGGCUCACUAUGAACACAUUGUAGAUUCCAAUUUGUAGUUUAGUGAAUAGCUCUAUAUAAACUUAUGUCCAAACAUUUAUUUAAGGGAUUCGUUGCAUGCAAUAAGAGUCAUGGAACUAAAACUGUUUUAUUCUACUAAACAAAAUAAAGCAUUUUUUUUUUUUUAAAAACCUUUCUUAUCUUCAAAAUCUGAUUGGCUGGAGGGCUCCAUGCAUACUAACCAAUUAAGGCAGGAUAGGCUUUUAUAAAGUCCACCCCCACAUUGAGCUUUCAUUAGGAGCAUUGUGAUUGGUUGGUCAUAUGAGACUUGCCUGGUAAUGUGCACAGAUGUGAUUUUAGGACUCCUAGCCAUGGUUGGCAUUCAAGGGGAUAAUCCCUAAUAUUUUUAAUAGAUUAAUCUUUUACGGGAUUAUGCACUAUCUGGACUAGAAGACUGGACUUCUACAGAACCCAUAUGGGGUCAUUUUGUUAAAUAGGGAUUAACUGACAUAAACUUUUUUGUUUUGUUUGUUUUUUUGUUUGUUUGAUGCUUCCUGGGCUUCCUUUAUAGUGCUGUCCAUCAACAGCCCGUAGGCAUAGAAUAUGGACAGGCCUCUCACCAGACAUGUUCUUUUUCAGGAGUCCCAGGGGACCCCCACUCCUCUCACCAGACAUGUUCUUUUUCAGGAUUCCCAGGGGACCCCCACUUUUUUCUCAUCUUAAUUAUUGUUUGUUAUUUUAAAUUUAGCAUUUAUAUUGCUUUCUUAAUUAUUAUUAGUUACAGUACCACACUGGAGAUAAGCAGUGUUUUUCUCUACUGAGGUACUAAAUAGUUUUGUUUUAGGCAUGUGCAUGGGGAAAAUUUUCGGUUCGGCAUUCCGAAAUUCAGGACUUUGGCAAUUCGGGACUUCGGCAAUUCGGCACUUCAACACUUCGGUAACUUCGACACUUCGCACUUUGACACUUCAGAAAUUCGGCAACUUCGGCACUUCAACACUUCAGGACUUUCGGGACUUUGGCACUUCGGGACAUCUCUUGCAGCCGCUUAGUCCCACGGUAUUAGGGAGUUAUCUACCAAAAGACUGAAAGACCUAAAUUGGUCUUUCCGACACACAUAAUAACCGACGCACUUAAAAAAAAUAAAAAUAAAAACGAGCGCAAAAAAAAAUCCAUCUUCACCCAUGGAGGGCUCCACGCAGACUGAGCUCUGCAGGGCGGGGGAAGGCUUAUAAAGCCUUGCCCCGCCCUGCAAUUAGGCUCAGAGCACUCUGGUGGGUUUAAGCCAUCCAAUCAGAGUGCUCUGACAGGUAAAUGAAGAGACUGACAGGUAAGUCUUGAAAUCCACCAAUCAGGAGUACUCUGUGUCAUUUUACACAGCGUGGGAAAGUUCUUUGGAAUUUUCCCAUGCUGUGUAAUUUGACUCAUAACACUCUGAUUGGUGGAUUAAGGAAGCAUCUUCAUUUACCUGUCAGAGCACUCUGAUUGGAUGGCUUAAACCCACCAAUCAGAGUGCUCUGAGCCUAAUUGCAGGGCGGGGGAAGGCUUUAUAGCACAGGGGUGGGGGCCAGGGUGAGGACAUUAGGACCCCCCUUAUUAGUAUUUAGGGCUCCCACCCACCGCUUAGGGGUGGGGGCCAGGGGGUAGGACAUUAGGUCCCCCUUAUUAGUAUUUAGGGCCCCCGCUCCUUAUUUUACUGUUGGGCCACCACCUACCGUUCAGGGGUGGGGGAUGGGGGGGCAAUAGGUCCCCCCUUCAGGUUAGACCUUUUUUUUAAGUGAGCCAUAGGCUGCUCACUGUUUAAUAGACAUGCCCCUACUCACAGUAUAGCGAGUAGGGGCAUAAUUUACUAAUACCAAGUAAUCUUUACUUAGUAUUAGUAAAUUUGGCUGAAAGACCAAUUUAGGUCUUUCAGCCUUUUAGUAAAUAGCUCCCUAAUACCGUGGGAAUUAGGGAGUUAUCUACUUAUUCAUUCCUGUCAUUACACUGACAGGCUAAGUAACUUACAUUUUAUAUGAAUGUAUGUUACUUGAUUGUUGUAAGUGUUGAAAAUGCUUACAGCUGAAUCCUGGCUAUGUUUGUAUACUUUUUAUUUAAAAUUGUAUACAGUGUAACAUUCUUCAUUCUUCCACUGGGUAAGUAUAUUAGUUCUUAGGCAAUACUGUGCUUCGGAACAUCGGCAUUCCGACACUUCGGAAAUUCAGCACUUCAGAACUUCGGCACUUCGGCAAUUCGACACUUCGGAAAUUUGGUAAUUUCUGAAUUUUGGGACUUCAACCAUUUGGCAAUUCGGCAAUUCAUCAGAAGUACCCGAAUGUCCGAAUUGCCCGAAAUUCGUCCGAAUUCACAUUCGGACAGAAACGAAUUGCACAUGUCUAGUUUGUUUUGUUGUGUAGCUUGUCUAGUGAGACCUUACGCUACCUUUCACCCAAGAAACUACAGUGACAUUUAUUGAAUAGCACAUGGUACCGUAAUUUCUAUAGUUUCCAGUGGAGCACUUACCUUCUGGAUAAAACCCUUUACUAAUUAAUGUAAACUUUACGGCAGUUGCUAAGUAGUAACUUUGAAGUGACUUUGCUGAGACACAAAAAAAGUUUGUGGGUUAACCAACAAAAAAGGUUUGUUAAGCUCUAGUAAUUCUAGAUUUUCACAAAUACUUUUUUUUUCUUUUUAGGCUGCCAUCCUGUGAAACCAUGGCACAUGUGUAUUUGCAAAAAUAUGUUUGGUGCUUACACUGCCUAAUUUAUAAAAAAAAAAAAAAAAAACACAAGGAUUGAUUUUGUGUAGAUUUUGGUGACAAACAAAAAUUGUAAAUUCUACUAAAAUAGGAUUUAUUUAUUUUGUGUAAUUAAAAACAUACUGUACAAAACCAGACAAAAUAUUCUCAAGCAUUACACUUUGCUUGGAACCUAAAUAUUCUUGGAUCUGCCAAGAGUCUGUCACUUGGGUCUUUCAUAGAAUCUGAGCACAAAAUAUUUAAUGUAAUAAGUGGAAUAAGUGAAGCCGACAUCAGAGGGUACAGCCAAUACAGCUGUAUGGGACCUGGGCCUCUCUGGGACACAUACUCAAUGUGGCUAUAUAUAUAUAUAUAUAUAUAUAUAUAUAUAUAUAUAUAUAUAUAAAACAAUUAUCACUAAAUAUAUAUGUGUGUGCCCCUGCAGAUCCCUAGCUGCCUGUAUAGUGAAGAGGGGGCACAGCAAAAGCCAUCUUCAGCUUCCGGCAGCUCCUCUCUCCAACUCUCAUGAGUCCGGGCCAUCAGACUGUUGCCGCUGGUUACAGCAGCACACAGACUGGGUUAAUGAGAGAAGCAGCCGGAAGCUGCAGAUCGGGUUUGCUGGGCCCCCUCUUCCCUGUACCGGCACCUGGAAGCCUGGCAGCCUGCAUAAUGCCACUGGAUCACCAGGGAGUGUAAUGUCCACCCUCUCUGGCCACAGGUAAAAGGCAGGUAGGAGAAGAAUAAAUUAAUGAACUAAUGAUAACAAAAUGGGACUUUUUGUUUAUAGAAUGCAGACCCUAUCCUACCCCACAUAUACAGUUGUAAUCAAAAUAAUUGAUUGAAAUAAUAUUGCUGUUUGCAACGAAAAAAUCAAACAAAAGCUAUUGAAAUAGCUAAACACAACGAAUGCUUCAAGUGGUUUCCCCAAAUUCACCUGAAAAUGCAACUUAGAAUGACUUUUCCAGCCUCAAAAUCAUUCAACUCCCUGAAUAGAAUCCCUAUUCACAAAUAUGCCAAACAGGUUUUGUCUCAAGCACACCUGAGGCAACUAAUCAAUGACUUCAUUAGAUGCAGCAUGUGUGCUUGAGUUGGAACACUUAAAAUACCUGAACUGGCUAGGGCAAGCAUGUCAAACAUGUGGUCCGUGGGGGUAUUUUUGCGGCCCAGGGGCGGAUUGGCCCACCGGGAUACGUGGAAAUGUUCCGGCAGGCCACCUGCCCUGGGGCCGCUUUGUGCUGUGGCCUUCAUGCGGGCCAUUGCUGAUUCCAUGCUCCAUCAUAUGGAGUCAUAUCCGGUGGCUGCGCAGUGACGCUACACUGCUCAGAGUGGCUGGCUGUGUUCAGAGUAGGCCCACCUCUCCCCCUUCCCUGCUGCUCACAGUGCCAAAUGAGCAUGUGGCCUGCUUGAGUAGAGAAGAUCAUGCAGUUCUGGACUGAAGCCGGCUUAAGGUAGGGGAAAAGGGGCUUGGGGGAACCUUCCUGUAGUGUAGUGUAUUAAAUUUGGGGACAGGGAGGGGGGCAGUGUAUUAAAUUGGGGGGAGGGAGGCGGAGCAGUAUAUUAGAGUGAGGGGGCAAUUUGUUAAAUUGGGGGAGGGAGGUGGGGCAGUGUAUUAGACUGGUGGGGCAGUGAGUUAAAUUGGGGAGAAAGCAGUGUAUUAGAGUGGUGAGCGGUGGAGCAGUGUAUUAAAUUAGAGUGGAGGGAAGGCAGUAUAUUAAAGGGGAGGCAGUGUGUUAAAUUUAGAGUGGAGGGAGGGUGGCAGUGUAUUAAAUUGGUGCAGAUUAUAAUCUUUACUUAGUAUUAGUAAAUUUGGCUGAAAGACCAAUUUAGGUCUUUCAGCCUUUUAGUAAAUAGCUCCCUAAUACCGUGGGAAUUAGGGAGUUAUCUACUUAUUCAUUCCUGUCAUUACACUGACUGGCUAAGUAACUUACAUUUUAUAUGAAUGUAUGUUACUUGAUUGUUGUAAGUGUUGCAAAUGCUUACAGCUGAAUCCUGGCUAUGUUUGUAUACUUUUUAUUUAAAAUUGUAUACAGUAUAACAUUCUUCAUUCUUCCACUGGGUAAGUAUAUUAGUUCUUAGGCAAUACUGUGCUUCGGAGCAUCGGCACUCCGACACUUCGGAACUCCGGAACUUCAGCACUUCAGAACUUCGGCACUUCGGCAAUUCGACACUUCGGAAAUUUGGUAAUUUCUGAAUUUCGGGACUUCAACCAUUCGGCAAUUCGGCAAUUCAUCAAAAGUACCCGAAUGUCCGAAUUUCCCGAAAUUCGUCCGAAUUCACAUUCGGACAGAAACGAAUUGCACAUGUCUAGUUUGUUUUGUUGUGUAGCUUGUCUAGUGAGACCUUACGCUACCUUUCACCCAAGAAACUACAGUGACAUUUAUUGAAUAGCACAUGGUACCGUAAUUUCUAUAGUUUCCAGUGGAGCACUUACCUUCUAGAUAAAACCCUUUACUAAUUAAUGUAAACUUUACGGCAGUUGCUAAGUAGUAACUUUGAAGUGACUUUGCUGAGACACAAAAAAAGUUUGUGGAUUAACCAACAAAAAAGGUUUGUUAAGCUCUAGUAAUUCUAGAUUUUCACAAAUACUUUUUUUUUUUCUUUUUAGGCUGCCAUCCUGUGAAACCAUGGCACAUGUGUAUUUGCAAAAAUAUGUUUGGUGCUUACACUGCCUAAUUUAUAAAAAAAAAAAAAAAACACAAGGAUUGAUUUUGUGUAGAUUUUGGUGACAAACAAAAAUUGUAAAUUCUACUAAAAUAGGAUUUAUUUAUUUUGUGUAAUUAAAAACAUACUGUACAAAAAAAAAUAUUCUCAAGCAUUACACUUUGCUUGGAACCUAAAUAUUCUUGGAUCUGCCAAGAGUCUGUCACUUGGGUCUUUCAUAGAAUCUGAGCACAAAAUAUUUAAUGUAAUAAGUGGAAUAAGUGAAGCCGACAUCAGAGGGUACAGCCAAUACAGCUGUAUGGGACCUGGGCCUCUCUGGGACACAUACUCAAUGUGCAUAUAUAUAUAUAUAUAUAUAUAUAUAUAUAUAUAUAUAUAUAUAUAUAUAUAUAUAUAUAUAUAUAUAAAAAACAAUUAUCACUAAAUAUAUAUGUGUGUGCCCCUGCAGAUCCCUAGCUGCCUGUAUAGUGAAGAGAGGGCACAGCAAAAGCCAUCUUCAGCUUCCGGCAGCUCCUCUCUCCAACUCUCAUGAGCCCGGGCCAUCAGACUGUUGCCGCUGGUUACAGCAGCACACAGACUGGGUUAAUGAGAGAAGCAGCCGGAAGCUGCAGAUCGGGUUUGCUGGGCCCCCUCUUCCCUGUACCGGCACCUGGAAGCCUGGCAGCCUGCAUAAUGCCACUGGAUAUCCCGGGGAGUGUAAUGUCCACCCUCUCUGGCCACAGGUAAAAGGCAGGGAGGAGAAGAAUAAAUUAAUGAACUAAUGAUAACAAAAUGGGACUUUUUGUUUAUAGAAUGCAGACCCUAUCCUACCCCACAUAUACAGUUGUAAUCAAAAUAAUUGAUUGAAAUAAUAUUGCUGUUUGCAACGAAAAAAUCAAACAAAAGCUAUUGAAAUAGCUUAACACAACGAAUGCUUCAAGUGGUUUCCCCAAAUUCACCUGAAAAUGCAACUUAGAAUGACUUUUCCAGCCUCAAAAUCAUUCAAUUCCCUGAAUAGAAUCCCUAUUCACAAAUAUGCCAAACAGGUUUUGUCUCAAGCACACCUGAGGCAACUAAUCAAUGACUUCAUUAGAUGCAGCAUGUGUGCUUGAGUUGGAACACUUAAAAUACCUGAACUGGCUAGGGCAAGCAUGUCAAACAUGUGGUCCGUGGGGGUAUUUUUGCGGCCCAGGGGCGGAUUGGCCCACCGGGAUACCUGGAAAUGUUCCGGCAGGCCACCUGCCCUGGGGCCGCUUUGUGCUGUGGCCUUCAUGCGGGCCACGGCUGAUUCCAUGCUCCAUCAUAUGGAGUCAUAUCCGGUGGCUGCGCAGUGGCGCUACACUGCUCAGAGUGGCUGGCUGUGUUCAGAGCAGGCCCACCUCUCCCCCUUCCCUGCUGCUCACAGUGCCAAAUGAGCAUGUGGCCUGCUUGAGUAGAGAAGAUCAUGCAGUUCUGGACUGAAGCCGGCUUAAGGUAGGGGAAAAGGGGCUUGGGGGAACCUUCCUGUAGUGUAGUGUAUUAAAUUUGGGGACAGGGAGGGGGGCAGUGUAUUAAAUUGGGGGUAGGGAGGCGGAGCAGUAUAUUAGAGUGAGGGGGCAAUUUGUUAAAUUGGGGGAGGGAGGUGGGGCAGUGUAUUAGAGUGGUGGGGCAGUGAGUUAAAUUGGGGAGAAAGCAGUGUAUUAGAGUGGUGGGAGGUGGAGCAGUGUAUUAAAUUAGAGUGGAGGGAAGGCAGUAUAUUAAAGGGGAGGCAGUGUGUUAAAUUUAGAUUGGAGGGAGGGUGGCAGUGUAUUAAAUUGGGGCAGAUUGUUAGAUUGGGGGAUGGGCAGUGUAUUAGAGUGGGGUUGGGCUGCGGGAGGCUGUGUAUUAGAUUGGAGGGGCAUAGUAAGUAACUUGAAGUGAAACUUUUGAGUAAAUUAUAUAUUUGUACCUAGACUUACAUAUUGUUUACAUGAGAACAACACAAGUAAUUUUAAUUUGUGUUGGUCUAGGCCGAACUAUUUUUUUUAUUUUGUGGCCCACAUAUACUUAAACCUUAUUUAAUGAGCCCAUGUUAGCCUUUGAGUUUGACAUGCUUGGGCUAGGGGUUUGUUGAGUGUCACAUUUGACUGCAUGUUAGAUUUAGGGCAAGUCAAAAGAAUGGUCCACAAGUUAAGAGAAGAGAUCAAUGCCCUUCACAAACAAGGAACAGGAUACAAAAAGAUAGCAAAGGAACUAAAUGUUCAUAGAGACACUGUUGGAAGUAUUGCUGGGAACAGUAACGGAUGGGGGAGAAAAAUUCAUGAAUAGACAAUACAUAUUAAGAGGGUUAUUCACUAAAAUAAAAAUUUAACAUUAAUUCAAACUGAAUUUCAAAUUUAAGGUCAAUAUAGCAGAUCUGGAAAUAAUUCUCUAAGUCAGCUAUGCUUUGAGGUCAGCUACUCUUGGCUUAUAGGUACAUGCAUCACUUUAGCUAUGAAUGAGACAGCUGAUUUACUCUAAAGGCUGAAAAAAGCAUACAUUUCAUUUUUUCUUAUUAUUUUUUCCUGUUUACCUCCUUCUUCAUUCUUAUGCUUUCCACAACUACUAUGGGUGGGGGGAGGAGGGAGUCACUGGUCUAACCAAUCGGGGUCUUAUCAUUUAGAUUGCUGGAAACGUGCUUUGGACAUGCCUGACAGAUUUACACAUGGGCAGUUGGAAGAUCUCUUCACCUUGCAACAUCUUAACAUGGAAGGAAGAGAUGGAAUCUGAUCAGUGUGAUCAUGCACAGCUGGUUCCAGUGUCUUCCUGCUACACAUUGAUGCCCUGUUACUGUCAUUAGUGGACUGGUCUGAAACUGAGAUGGGUUAGUAAGGGGGUGCUGAAGAAACUCACCUAGCUGAGAGGCUUGCCCAAUAAUGCAAUCAGACCAAGUUUAUAGUUUAUAAAUGUUUAUUAUUUUUAUUAAACUUUUCAAAGUAUUU